rnacentral:rRNA from 1 species
UUUCUAGAGAUAGAAAGUUACUUCGGUACAUCGGUGACAGGUGGUGCAUGGUUGUCGUCAGCUCGUGUCGUGAGAUGUUGGGUUAAGUCCCGCAACGAGCGCAACCCCUAUUGUUAGUUGCCAUCAUUCAGUUGGGCACUCUAGCGAGACUGCCGGUAAUAAACCGGAGGAAGGUGGGGAUGACGUCAAAUCAUCAUGCCCCUUAUGACCUGGGCUACACACGUGCUACAAUGGUUGGUACAACGAGUUGCGAGUCGGUGACGGCGAGCUAAUCUCUUAAAGCCAAUCUCAGUUCGGAUUGUAGGCUGCAACUCGCCUACAUGAAGUCGGAAUCGCUAGUAAUCGCGGAUCAGCACGCCGCGGUCGAAUACGUUCCCGGGCCUU